UCCUCUGUGUGUCCCGCCUUGGGGAGGGGGCUAGGGGCCUGGAGGGUCUUGCCCUCUCAGAGCCCAAGUGGGGACAAAAGAAGGGGCACCCUUCCCGGAGGCGCGAAAUCCAAGGAGGAAGUGACACCUAUCAGCCAGCCUGAGAGUGGAGGCGCCCCAUCCGGCCCCUCCCACCCCACAGUCCCCGGAGCCACCACGCAAGGCAUCUUCAGGCCCCAGGCUCGGAUGGGAGAUCCCCAGGAUGCCAAGCGGAGGACAUGGGGGCGGAGGGUUAUAUUUUUACGCGGAGGCUCCCUGAACCCCACAUGUUACCAGCUCUGGCUUCAUGAAUGCGAUGAAUUCCUUAUGGGUCAAGGUUUUUGUUGAGAAAUUAAAGUACUCUGCAGAGAACAGCACCAGCCUUAGUAACAGGUGAGAUGUCUGUGUGUAACGUGGGUACUGAAAGAGGAAAAGGACUGGCCUGGAAGUCUGUCGUGUGUGUGUGUGUACCAGUGUGUGUGUGUAAACAGCAGGGCUCAGCCCCUUGCGUUAUGCUGAUUGCCUGUGCAUGCAGUCAGGAAAACAUCAGAGGUGCAGCUUUAUAGGUACUGCGAAACACGCAGGGCUGGCUGAGCCCGAUUCGGAUCAUAACUGUGGUUUUGUCUUCUCCGAACCGCGCUGUACCGGGAAAGUCACAGCUUCGCUUCGCUCCGUCCUUGGUUGCUGAACACGUGUGAUGUGCGAUUACUCUUCUGUCAGGACGUGAUGGCUACUCAGCCUUCCAGCUUCAUUGCUUUGGCUUAAACUACAGCAGACUAGGAACUUGGCUUGUUUGUUUGAUUUUGUUUUGAAACCUAAAUGCAGCCUUGAUAACGUCAGUGUUGCCAGACUUGGUGGAGGAGGCGGGGCAGAGUGAAAAACUCCUGG
rnacentral:lncRNA from 1 species